GCUCCAGGCCCUGAGCUGUCAGCACAGAGCCCAACGAGGGGCGUGAACCCACAAGCCAUGACUUCCGAGCUGAAGUCGGACGCUUAACCGGCUGAGCCACCCAGGCACCCACCACCCCCUGCUAUAAAGUAUUAUUAAACGAAGAGAAGGCACAGAAGCACUGAAGGCACAAUGACAACAAACAGAAAGAGCACGGCCAGCCCGCUCAGCAGCCCAGUGUGGCGGGGACGGAGGCCCGCUGCCGCGUCUGGAAACAGAAGACACAAGGAGACUUGGCUCUCAGGAAAUAAGCCCACGGGCUUGCCCCCACUCAGGGGCACUAUCAAAAAUGGGGUCCCCUCCAGGGGGGGGUGCCAAAGCUCCAAGGGAAACUCUCCUUUCUGCUAUCAAAGGUCAGGAUUAGACACGGAAUCAGAGGGCCAAGCGGGGGCGGCCUCCGGAACACCCCAAGUGCCUGGCCUAUCUCGGACAGCUUUGGGCUCUUUGCCAGGUCCUCCUGGGGGGAGAUGUCCCUGGAGACCGGGCCUGGCGUGAGGGAGGGACACUCCGCUGGGGAACGAGGCCCAGUUCAGGCCUCGCCGCUCGGAGGCUGAGGAGAGACGGACAGAGCUGUUCACCUGCACAGAGCUGUCGGGCCAAGAUGGAGUCGGAGCUGUUGCUGACAGGGUUCCAGGCUGUACACGUAACAUGUCAGUGUGACAUUACAGGUGCUGUUGACAGAUGCCAUUGAACUCUGAGUAAUCUUUGGCUUCCCAAGCCGACCUGGGAGGGGAAAACGCAUGUGUCUGUAGUAAGCUGGAGCCGGCCUAUACCAGCCUGUGAGAGCCAACUGUUAAAUCUUCAGAAAUGUUUUUUAAAUGUUUUUAAUGUUUAUUUAUUUUUGAGAGAGAGAGAGUGGGAGCGGGGGAGGGACACGGAGAGAGGGAGACACAGAAUCCGAAGCAGGCUCCAGGCUC